CGCCUCUAUCAAGUGGUAUCAGAUUUCCAGGUUGCUCGGUGAGAUUUUACAGUUUUUCGUAGUUUAGAUCGAGUUUGUUCUUCAUACCUAAAGUCCACGAAAAAGCCACAAAAAAAAUUAGGGUUAGUUCAUCAUAUCCGAACCAAUCUGAGCCUUUGCAUAAUCUUUUUAGGGUUUUGCUUUGUUGAAUUUGCGGUUGCAUCGUCGUGUCUAGUUGCUGGUCUUAGAGUCUAGUCUUUUAGAGUUUCGAGUUCUGGUCAUAAGUUGUCACGCCGCCCCGCACCAUCAUCAUCGCCCCUGCCAUCUACCACCACCGCUUAUCCGCCACCGCUCCGAAUCCGUAUCCAUAUACCACCACCAAUCCGUGUCCAUAUACCAUCACCGAUCCAUAUCCAUAUACUACCACCGCUACCACCACCGCUGCCAUAUACCACCACCAUAUAUCCACCACCAAUCCGAGUUCCUUGCAUAUUAGGUUUGUUUUCGAGAUCCAUCUAGAUUCCGAUUCGUGUUUCCUUGCCGGAGUAGGUUUCGGAAAAAAAAGAAAAAGAAAAAAAAAGAAAAAAAAAGAUAGAAAAAAAAAGAAAAAAAAGAGAGAAGAAAAAAACUGGAUCUAUCUAGAAUCAAUCUGGAAUUGGGUGAUUCUUUUUGCAUUGGAAAGCUUGAGUUAGUAGCAUUCUUUGAAAGAAUUUAUCAGAAAAUUGUCUCAAACUUUUCAAGAGGAAAGUUGGAGAGAGAGUUGUUGUAUAUCCUGCUUGGCAGUUGUUUUUCAUCAUUAUCUUCACUGCCGUUGUGAUCUUCACUUAUAUCUUGCUGUCAAGAGCUACUUAGUAUCCUUCAUUGAUGCUAGUUGUGCUACGCCGUGACCUUAUUAGUGUUCUAGGCUCGCGUCUCUAGUCCGGUCUAGCCUAGGACCAGCACAGUACCGUCGUUGAGCGUUUAUUCAACAUUGCAUCUUUGAAUUGAUUAUUGCUAAUCUUUUGCUACCAUAUAUAGCCAACCCAGCUCCACAUAUUUCUACACCGUGUAUACGUACGCUCCCCUGGCAAUCGCUUUACUCAAUAUUCGGAGUUACUUGACACCGCUGGUUGCCGAUCACCGCCUGCUGCAUGGUAAGAACUUGUAAGACAUUGAUAUUUGCGUUACUGUGAGCGUUUUACCACCACAUCCUAGUAGUUAUAGGAACAUUAUUUUUGGGUUUUGUUUCUUGUUCUACUAAUCAUGACAGGAUCCAGAGUCAAUUCAUGGGCUUUGUCGAUCGCGGGAGACGUGCGACCACCUUUGCAAAUACCACAACCGUCACGAGAGGUGCACAAACAUCCAAAUGCACAUGAUCAGGUUAAUGUAUCUAUACCACCAUUUAAUGGCUGUUUUAAACCUGCUUUAUAUAUUGAAUGGGAGUUCGACAUAAAAAAUAUAUUUGCUUCCCAUAAUUUCGAUGAACAUAAAAAGGUUAAGGUUGCGGUUUGUUCUUUCACUGGUUAUGCUUUGGUUUGGUGGAGUGAAUAUUGUCGGUUACACCCUGAUUAUAUACCUACUACUUGGGAUGAUUUGAAACUUGCCAUGCGACAUACUUUCGUCCCUGCUUAUUAUACUCGUGACAUGAUUAAGAAGUUGCAACACUUAAAACAAGGUAGUGAAACUGUAACAAAAUAUUAUGAUGAUUUACAAACUACCUUGUUGCAUUCCUCUUUAGAAGAAAGUGAAGAUGAUUUUAUGGAUAGAUUUUGGGGAGGGUUAAACCAUGAUAUUCAAGAGAUACUAAUUCAUGAAGAGUGUUAUCCUAUGGACCAUUUGUUUCAUCUUGCUUGCAAAGCUGAACAGGAAAUAAAACGACGUGUUGCCCACGAGGAGAACAAGCGCACGGUGCACAUUCCAAGAGUUGAUAUGAUUGUUCCUUCAACUACUAGGCAUACUAUGACAACCACAUCCGUUGUUGUCAGGACUACAUCACCUCCACCAUGUGACACAUCGCCCCCGAGAGUGGCUACAUCAUCUGAGUUGAUCAUAAGAGGUAAUGACAAAGGUACUGAUCUUCCAUCUCUACAUGAGAAUGAUGAAUGCCUUGUCAAUUUGAAUGCACCAUCUGAUGAGCUACCCACUACUUUGAUCACACCACCUAUUUUAGAGGACUACGUUGAUAAUUUGACUUUGCCAUGUGAUCAAACAACUGAAAUACCAACAAUUUUGAGUGCACCCAUUGAAUUAACUAUUGAUGCAAAAGAACCAAUGUUUAAUCAUUUUGAUAUGACCUCUAAUCUUGGUGAUGAUUCUGUGUUGAAUGACUUAUUGCAUGUUUGCUUAUUUAAGCAUGUUGUAGCAUGUAAUUUUGAUGCAAGUAAGGUUUAUUCACCAAUGUUGGGAUGGUUUAAUGAUGAACAUUAUCAAUCUUUUGAAAUGAAUAAGACCUUCACUUAUAUGUGCAAACUGAGUUGCAAUAUUUUCAUGCCUUCUACUUCUUGUGCUAAUUUUUUGGCUUUAGAUUUUAUGAACUAUGCAAGUUACUCAUCUAUUCAUGUGUCAUAUAUGCAAAAAUCAAGGGAAGUAAAACUGGAUGACAUAUACAUAUACAACAUGUACACCUUGUCUCUUUUGUUAGCCACAUUUUAGAUUAAGCAAUGCCGAGGACGGCUUUAUUUUCAAGAAGGGGAGGAUGAUGAGGACAUGACUACCUUGGAUAUGACCAAAAAUAUUGCAUAUAUGCAUAUUUGUCAGGUGAUUUCUAGUGCAAACUAUUCAAUAAUCUAUUUAUGUUAUCCAGAACAAAAAUACUUCACACACUUUUGUGUUUUGUCUAAUUGCAGGUGUAUGGGACAUUUGUACAAUCCACAUAUGAAGAUAAGGAAGAAAGAGAUGUUUAUUUGCUGUCCAAAAAGUUCUCUCACGUCAGUUUUGGCCCAAGAGAAGAUAGAGUCCAAGUCUCUCAUGUUCUGGAUUCAGAUUCGGACUGCACAGACAUACCUGACUCAAAACGCACACAAGUUUUUCAUACGGACUCCGAAUUGGGUGAUUCUUUUUUUGUUGGAAACUAGAUUUCGUGCACUUUCCAACCCAAUUGAAAUCACCUUCAAAUUCGUCCGGAGCAUUGAGUUGUGGACGAAACAAUCUGAUGCUGCAGCAGAAUCCGAGUCAAACUACAAGUCCAAAGGUGUUACAUCACCUCCACUUGGGCCCAUUGGCCUUGUACGACCUAGAUUUAGUUUUAGGCUGCCUUGGGACGUCCUCCCACCUCCUUGGCCGCCACCCCUUGCUCCUAUAUAAGUAGAUCCAUCUAGUAGCUUUUCCUUGGGAUUUGUUUAGUUAAAAGUUAGCCAUUGCAACUUCGUGUGCUUCGUUUGUGUCCAACGACCAGACCAAGACCACUUUUCGGAUCCCCACCAUUAUCAAUACUUCAUACAUAUUCGCGAUAUUCAGAUUGCUUUUAUCAUAUUCUUGCUUGUUCUUCGAUUGCUUGCAGGAAUAGACCUUCGUGGUCAGGUUGAUCGUGCUCCGGCGUGGUCAAUAACCUCUCGGAGUUGGUUUAGCGAUUGCUAAGGCACAAUGUCGUUGCACGUUUGUAGUCGGAUCGUCAAAGUCGUCUCCACCAAAUCGAUAGUUAUCAUCUCAUCGAAAGAUCGGGACACCCCGCCUCUAUCACCUUGGUAUGGAACAAAUUGUGCCUCUGAUUUUGCUCAGCUUGUGUGACCGGCACACUCAAAACACGUUGAGCAACUAAACAUUCAUACCUGUCAGCGUCUUCAGGAGCCAUGUAUUGCGUCUCAUGAUCAGAAUCAUCUCCACCAUGUUCUUCACGUGUAAUAAGAGCCAAUGUCUCCUCAUCAUAGUCACUAGCGGACUCAUAUCCACCAUCCGCGGUAGCAAUCAUCACACGCGGAGAUUUGCAUUCUCUCGCAUAAUGACCUCCUCCCUUACAACGACGACAAAUAAUAUCACUUGUGUGCCCUGUUGAUGCCCUGGAAGAAGAAGAACUCUGUGCAGGCCCGGCAGGUGUGCUCUUGGCAGAUAAUGGUGGUUGUUCCUGUUUUCUUGUAUCACAGCUGUAGGAGGCACCUGAUUGAGGUGCUGGUGCAGUUGAAGUAGAAGAUGCACGCGGCGUCCAUGAGGAAGGUCGGCCUGCAGAAAAGUUAGUUCGCGCCAAUGCUUGUCGAUCCUGCACUUCACGUUCAGCUUUACAAGCAAGAUGGAAUAAACGAGUGAUAUUAGUAUACUCCUUAUAGUCUAGAAUGGUCUGAAUCUCUCUAUUUAAUCCACCCAGAAAACGUGCAAGCAUAGCUUCAUUCUCCUCAACAAUACCACAUCGAAUCAUGCCAGUUUGUAAUUCCUGAUAAUAUUCUUCUACAGAAUUUUUUCCUUGUCUUAAACGCUGCAAUUUUUGAAGCAAUUCACGAUGAUAAUAUGGUGGAACCCAACGCGUACGCAUAGCGGUUUUCAAAGCAGCCCAAGUAGUUGGAAUAGGAUAUAAUCUACAAUGUUCAGACCACCAGACACAUGCAAAACUAGUGAAAGCACAAACAGCAGCAGCAACCCGUCUCUCCUCGGGAUAUUGUAAACAUGUAAAACGUUGUUCAGUUUCUAACUCCCAAGUAAGAUAUAUAUCAGGAACAUAUCUACCCUCAAAUGGUGGAAUAUUCAAUUUCAGUUUAGGAAUAUUGAUGAGGACAUCAAUACCAUUGUUACACCCACAGCCCCUAUUGCUACAUAUACGGGACCAAUUACUAGAGCUCGCGCACGCCAAUUAAAUUAUCAGGUACUUUCGUUUCUUGGUAAUGAUUCUAAUGUUCAUGAGAAUAUGAUGCUGCCUAAAUUGGAUACAUUUGUUUUGCUUACAAAUGAAGGGCCUAGCUUGGAGAAGGAUGAACAUUGGAGCAAGAACAAGCAUGGAGAUGAUGCCAUGCGCAAGGGGAACAAGAACAGAGUUACAAGUGAUGAUUUCAGGACUUUGAAGCCACCAUAAUGGGUCCAUGAAGCCAUGGACGAAAUAUACAAGAUGCCACUUCAUAAAUUUCGUCCCGAGGCUAUUUUAGGUGCUGCGUCACCUUAUUAUUGGGCCAGGCCCAUGUAAUUUCGAAAUACAUAAGUAUAGGCUAUUUUUAGAGUCCGUAUGUGUGGGGAAACAAGAGAUAGGGUUGAUUUCGGACCCCUCCACCAAGGGCCACGAAAUUCCCCCCUCUUCCUCCAUAUAUACAGCCCUUAGGGCAUCGUUUAGACUUUGGGUUUUGUUUAGAUUAAAAGUUCGCCAUAGCUGCAACUUCGCGUACUUCGUUUGUGUUCAACGACCAGACAAAGGCGUCACAGAACCCCACCUUGAUCAAUAAAGCUUUCAUCUUAUAUUCGCAAUAUCCAGAUUGCAAUCUUAGUUUCUUGCUUGUUCUUCGUUUGCUCGCAGGAAACGGACCCUCGUGGUCAGGUUGAUCGUGCUCCGGCGUGGUCAAUAACCUCUCGGAGUUGGUUUAGCGAUUGCUAAGGCGCGACAUCCUCGCACGUUUGAUGAGGACAUGACUACCUUGGAUAUGACCAAAAAUAUUGCAUAUAUGCAUAUUUGUCAGGUGAUUUCUAGUGCAAACUAUUCAAUAAUCUAUUUAUGUUAUCCAGAACAAAAAUACUUCACACACUUUUGUGUUUUGUCUAAUUGCAGGUGUAUGGGACAUUUGUACAAUCCACAUAUGAAGAUAAGGAAGAAAGAGAUGUUUAUUUGCUGUCCAAAAAGUUCUCUCACGUCACUUUUGGCCCAAGAGAAGAUAGAGUCCAAGUCUCUCACGUUCUGGAUUCAAAUUCGGACUGCACAGACAUACCUGACUCAAAACGCACACAAGUUUUUCAUACGGACUCCGAAUUGGGUGAUUCUUUUUUUGUUGGAAACUAGAUUUCGUGCACUUUCCAACCCAAUUGGAAUCACCUUCAAAUUCGUCCGGAGCAUUGAGUUGUGGACGAAACAAUCUGAUGCUGCAGCAGAAUCCGAGUCAAACUACAAGUCCAAAGGUGUUACAUCACCUCCACUUGGGCCCAUUGGCCUUGUACGACCUAGAUUUAAUUUUAGGCUGCCUUGGGACGUCCUCCCACCUCCUUGGCCGCCACCCCUUGAUCCUAUAUAAGUAGAUCCAUCUAGUAGCUUUUUCCUUGGGAUUUGUUUAGUUAAAAGUUAGCCAUUGCAACUUCGUGUACUUCGUUUGUGUCCAACAACCAGACCAAGACCGCUUCCGGAUCCCCACCAUUAUCAAUACUUCAUAUAUAUUUGCAAUAUUCAGAUUGCUUUAUCAUAUUCUUGCUCGUUCUUCGAUUGCUUGCAGGAAUAGACCUUCGUGGUCAGGCUGACCGUGCUUCCAGCAUCGUCAGUAACCUCAGGAGAUUGGUUUAGCGAUUGCUAAGGCGCAACGUCGUUCACGUUUGUAGUCGUUUCGUCAAAGUCGUCUCCACCAAAUCGAUAGUUAUCAUCUCAUCGAAAGAUCGGGACCCUCGCCUCUAUCAAGUGGUAUCAGUUUUCAGGUUGCUCGGUGAGAUUUUACAAUUUUUCAUAGUUUAGAUCGCAUCUGUCAUUCAUACCUAUAGUCCAUGAAAAAGCCACAAAAAAAAGUUAGAUCUGUUCAUCCUUUAUCCAAGCCAGUCUGAGCCUUUGCAAUUUUCUAUUCGUUGCUUGCAUAGUUGAAUUAUCGGUUGCAUCGUCGUGUCAGUUGCUGGUCUUAGUGUCUAGUUCCUUUAGAGUUUCGAGUUCUGUUCACAUUAGUCACGCCGCCGCUGCAUCAUUAUCCCUUCCGCUGUCCACCAUCCCAUCUAUUAAUUUCCACCACGUGCUACGCACUGUUCAUUGUCAUAAUCAUAGUUGAGGUCAUUCACAUCUUCGCUUGAUCCAAUCUGCAUUUUAUCUAGUUUGUCUUGGAA
rnacentral:lncRNA from 1 species